GUCUCGAUGGUCUAGUUGGCUAGGGCGCCGGUCUCAUAGGCCUGGUAUCAAAAGGUACCAAUCACGCCGUGAUUAGCUUGUCCACAAGCUGAGUGAUCCGGAGAUCGGGAGUUCGAUCCUCCCUCGAGACA
rnacentral:tRNA from 1 species